AGGGACUGAGGAGGUCACCCGGGCUGUGGGAAGAGGGGCACGGGGUCAGAAUCGAAGGAAGCUGGAAGCUGAGGAUUUUGGGGUGGGAUACCUGGGGGUAAGGAGGAUGGAGCCGCUGAGAAGGACGGAAAGGGGAUACACUGGCGUUAUGAAAUCCCCUCUAGGGUGGACGGAGACAGAUAACUAAUAGACUAAACCCUGCCUGGGAAAAGGAUUCCUUACUACCUCCUCACACAGUACUAGCUUGCCUGCAAAACCUGGCUUGGGUGGGAAGUAUUUCUAGGUAGCAGAAGUCUUUGAACCCAGGGUUUAAAAAAAGUCUUUUUUGUUGUUAAAAUGCUAGUAAAAUCUCAAGGGCAAUGAUUUCCUUAAUGCAUACCCAAAAACAAAGCUCUGGUUAAAUGCAGAGUGGUUGGUUGAUCACCGUGAAAGAGGAACUUAAUUUGUGAAUUAUCUCUGAGAAAGGGCAGUCUAUCAUUUUAAAUGCAAAUGAUGCCCCCUAAAAAAGCUGCCCUGUUUUAAAACUACUAAUCAAGUUUGAUUUGAUUUAGGAAUAUUUUAUCAAUCAGCUGAAGAUAGAAGGAACACCUCCCACGCCAUGUAACAAAUGAAAUCCCAAGUAACAGUCGCUAUGAGGGUUACACACAAGGCGGUGUGAUAUUUGCAACUAGUCGAAUACUCGUGGUUGAUUUCUUGACUGAUAGAAUUCCUUCAGAUUUAAUUACUGAAACCUUUGAUGAUUUAACUAAAAUUAAUUCAGGAGCCCUGCUUCUGUGACCUCAAGUUACCUUGUGCUUCUCUCUAGUGAUAGUGCUUCAAAACACUACACUGUAUUUGCUGUUUAUUUACUCCUCUCACUUGUGAGAUAAUAAGCUUCGUAAGUACAAGGAACAACUUACUCAUCCUGGACGAAGUAACUGGUCCAUAGCAGGCAUCUUGGUGUUCAGAGCUCACAGAAUCAUCAAGUCCUGUCAAGAAGCAUUCAUCUUGCGCCUGUUCUGCCAGAAAAAUAAAACGUGGCUUCAUUAAAGCUUUCACAGACAAUGCUGUCGCCUUUGACACUGGUUUUUGUCAUGUGGAAAGAAUGAUGAGAAAUCUCUUCGUAAGGAAGUUGUAUCUGUGGCCAAGCUAAACAGCAUUAUGUGACAGACAUCUGUUCCAUGUAGCAGUAAACUCAUUUUUAGAACAGCACAAACCUGAAGUCCUAGAAAUUCAUGUCUCUAUGACACCAGCCAUGCUUGCUAUACAGACUGCCAUACUGGACAUCUUAAAUGCAUGUUUGAAGGAACUGAAGUGCUGUAACUUGUCACUUGACGUUGAAUAUUUAUCUUUAGAAAACACUAUUGGAAAAUCCUUUGACAAGAUAUUCUGUUUCUUUUCCCUUUUAAGCAUAGCUUGUCCUGUUAAAACCGUAGAGAAUGCAAGUUAAUUUAGUAUUGCCAUGUUCUUAAUAGGAAUUUGCUGUUAUUUUAAAAUUAAAUUGGAAGUGAUUUAAAGUAUAGCUUCUUUGGUUUAGUGGAAAGUAAUUUAUAGUGACAUACAUGGAUUGGCAUAUCCGCAUGACUCUAAUUUUUGCAGUUAUACAGUGAUUAUCUCUCAUUUUACGUAUAAUGAAGAAAAAGAUAAAUACCUUUUUGCUCUGAAGCAACCUUUGGAUAUCUUCAGGUAGAAGAGUUUUACAUAAGUGCAUUUGUAAUUUAUGAUCUCUUGUUUCGAGUAAAAAUAAUUUGGAUGAGUUUUCACUAUUGAGGAAUGUGAAACUUGCUCUGUCCUAAAAGUACAUUCCGAACUGAGAAAAUGGUAAGACUUUAGUUCAAGGAAUUUUUAUUCUGAUUUUUUUAUCAUAGAUUAAUAUUAAUACAGACACAUAAAUGUCUAAGAUUGAAUUAUAGAUCCUGAAAAUGCUGACUUUUUAAAAAUUCCAGGCAACUUACUUUAGAUAUUUUGGUAGAACAAGUUCCUGCCUUUUUAAACUCUGAAUCGACCCUUUGUGGCUGGAAGAGGAAAAAUGUAACUCCUCAUUUCUCUGAUUCAUCCAAAAAUUAUUUUACUGUGGAAUAAUGAUACAUAAGACUAAUUUCAUGUGUUUUGUUCCUCUACUCUUAAAGCUUAGGGCAUAGUGAAACCAAAAAAACCUCCACAUCUUCACAUUCUUUUAAUAGACUGUAUAUUCCUAGAAAAACAAAAUGUAGCCUAGUAUGUUUUGCACUAAAUUUCUGUUUAUCAUCCCCUGGCUAGUAAAAAUCAAAGUUACUUUUAGUAACCAAAUCUACAUACAACUUGGGUCUUGUUAGAAAAUUUAAUUUUUGUAGAUGAUUUUAUAAAACAAGCAUGCAAAUAUAUGUCCCAGUAUAUCUAAGACAGCCUUGGUAUCUGCCUAUUGUCCUGGAGUAAUCAUUAGUAGUAGCAUUUCAUUUUCACAAGAGUUGUGUUUUGAGCAACAAAUCUUCUAAGUAUUAUUCCUGCUCAGUAUUAAAUUUGUUAGAUAAGAUGCCAUGUAGUGAUACUGCUUCCCUAUCAUGUUGUGUAUCAUCUUUUUAAAUUACAGAAUCAGUUUACGAAGGACAGGAAGUGUGUGUGUGUGUGUGUGUGUGUGUGUGUGUGUGUUUGUACACCCACAUAACCCACAUAGUAUAUACAAAAAGCUGUUCUGUGUUUUAGGCAACUUUUUAGGAUCUUAAAAGUUAUUCAAACUUAGCCCACUGUUAAUUUAACAAAUAUCUUCCCAUCCAUGAAGCACAGUGGUAAAAAAAUUAACAAAUAUUUUAUGCCACCAAAUUAAGAUACAUUGUUGUUUAAUUUGAUACCACAUUGUUUCCCUGGUUUAUGCCUUCAGCUUCAUCAUCUCUCUGACUGGAUCCCACAUCUUUAUCUAUCCAGGAUAAGAUCUCAGCCCACCUUGGCAGAAAUUGAGUGUUUCUGAGCUACCUGCUUUGACUUUUCAUAAAAACAAACAAUUGAUUAUCUGAUUCUUAUCAGGUCUUUUCUCUCCUGACCAAUAAAGUAAAUGUAGAUAAUUAUGAAUUGACUAUCUGAUCAUAAAGACUUUAGUGAUAAGAUACUCUGUUUCAUUUUUGAAAAAUUAAACAUAUAAUUAGAAUCUUAGGAACUGAAAUUUUCUGUCCACCUCCUUGGGAGAUAAUGUUUUGGAUUUUUUGUAUGUGUGUGACAAAAUAUAUGUGAACAUAAAAUUUACUAUUUUAACCAUUUUUCGGUACACAGGGAUAAUGUUUUUUGAGACUAUAGUGUUAAUAAUAGCUAUGUAGAACAUAUUUUUAGCAAUAUUAAAUUUUACCCUUAUUUUAGACAAUCCACCAUUAUCUGGAUCCUUUGUGGCACCAGCUUGGAGCCAAGACUAAAUCCUUGGUUCAGGAUUUGAAGAUACUACGAACUUUGCUGCAGUAUCUUUCUCAGUAUGAUUGUAUCACAUUUCUUAAACUUCUGGAAUCUCUGAGAGCAGCAGAAAAGGCUUUUGGUCAGAAUUCAGGUUGACUGUUUCUGGACUCCUGCACCUCGAUGUUUCUAAAUGAUCGAGCAAGGGUUUAUCAUGUUCCAGAUGCCAAAAUGAGCAGGAAAGGAAAAAUGUCUGAAAAAAUGGAGUUUAAAGAAGGGCAGGGUAUGUCAUAGGCUUAAGUCUUUAAAUGUGUCUUUUAUUUCAGUGAUUGGUUGGAAGUACUUAACAAGUUAAUGUGUGAUUUUAAGUCUCCUUCAGCCAUCAGAAAAUGUAUGCCGGUAUGAUAAAUGUAUGUUGUAUGUAAUUCUGUUAAAAGUAUUAACAUGACAAGUCUUAGAAUCUGUUGCUGGGGAUUCUGGAUAACAAAGGCCAAGUAUCAAUCAAGAACAUUCUUACUUCUACUUAAGAACUAGAUUGAUUUUUUGUAACUUUAGACUAAUAAUUGCCACUUCUGUCACUUAAAGUCUUAAUGGAAUAUUUUAACAUCCCUCUGGGCUUUUAAAAGACAUAAAUAUACUAGAAUGAGACAAAUAUGGAUUUUAUUCCGACACUCAUCUAGUAGAUAUAAUGAAUAUUGUUUUUUUAAGGUAUGGGAGAGGGCAAAUGCUUACUUUCUGCUUAGUUCAAAGGUCUAGUUCAAAAGUUAAAUAUUUUAGGGAUGUGUUUGAGUACUUUACUAACAGAAAUAAAAGUUUGUUGUCUACUUCUAUUGCAUGUUCAGGGUUGUGAAAAUCAUGAUGAUUAUAGAAAUAAUCAAUGCUAUUAUUCUGUUCUGGUUCCUUUAUCUGUAUAGCAGCUUAUACAUAGUGUCACAGUUGACAGUUAACACAGAAUAAUCUAGUAUUAGUAACCAUGCAUAUAACUUUCUAUUGAGACAUUAUAAAGCUUGUAUUAAUGUUUGUUUGAAGCAUCUUUCCUUUAGACCAUAACUAGACAAUUUUCAGGAAAAUAGAUUGUCUAGCAUUAUGAAGGCCCCACAAAGGAAAGGGAUAAGAGAAUGAUGCUUGAGUUAUCUCUUGGACAGAGGAAACUUGACCCUGCCCUCCCAACUCCCUGCCUGCCUGUGCCUCACCUGAAAGCUGCCUGUGUCCUUGGAUCCCCACCCUCUGGAUAUAAAAUAGUUUGCCUCUAAACUUUUGUAGUUAAUUCUUGUAUUAAAUUCCUUUGACAUCUAAUGUGAGUUUUGUGUUCCUGGCUGCACCCUGACUAAUAUAAACACCUUUGCAAAAAAGCACAUCAAGGUUGACAUCACUAAAGGUGUGCCUAUGUUUCACUGUUUGAAUGUUCCAUGAAUGUUCUAACAUUUAUUUAAUCAUUUGGCUAUUGAUGAACAUUUAACUUCUUUCCAAGUUUUUUGCUACCACAAUUUGUGCUGUAAUGAAUAUAUCUGUAUAUAUAUGUAUUUCUAUAGGACAGAGUAAAAUUGCUAGGAGUAAUAUUGCUAGGUC